rnacentral:sRNA from 1 species
GCCAGGCGCGGUGGCUCAUGCCUGUAAUCCCAGCACUUUGGGAGGCUGAGGUGGGUGGAUCACCUGAGGUCAGGAGUUCGAGACCAGCCUGGCCAAUAUGGUGAAACCCCAUCUUUU